CCAGACUCCUACGGGAGGCAGCAGUGGGGAAUAUUGCACAAUGGGCGCAAGCCUGAUGCAGCCAUGCCGCGUGUAUGAAGAAGGCCUUCGGGUUGUAAAGUACUUUCAGCGGGGAGGAAGGCGAUAAGGUUAAUAACCUUGUCGAUUGACGUUACCCGCAGAAGAAGCACCGGCUAACUCCGUGCCAGCAGCCGCGGUAAUACGGAGGGUGCAAGCGUUAAUCGGAAUUACUGGGCGUAAAGCGCACGCAGGCGGUCUGUCAAGUCGGAUGUGAAAUCCCCGGGCUUAACCUGGGAACCGCAUAUGUGACUGCUUGGCUAGAGUGCGUCAGAGGGAGGUGGAAUUCCACGUGUAGCAGUGAAAUGCGUAGAUAUGUGGAAGAACACCGAUGGCGAAGGCGGCCCCCUGGACAAAGACUGACGCUCAGGUGCGAAAGCGUGGGGAGCAAACAGGAUUAGAUACCCCAGUA
rnacentral:rRNA from 1 species